AUGCUUGCUUCAGCAGCACAUAUACUGAAAUUGGAAUGAUAUAGAGACGAUUAGCAUGGUCCCUGC
ensembl:snRNA U6 U6 spliceosomal RNA